CUACUUGUGGCCAGUUCCCAAAGGCUCUCUCUGGGUGAUAUUUUCUUUUGAAUGAUAAACCCUAGUUCCUUCUAUUAUUACAUUGAACAUAUUCAAUUUUGGUCCCUCGUCCUCCUCCUGGAGCCUUUCAAUUUGCACCAUAGCACUCCUCACUAGUGUAGUCACUGUUUACAAAAUUUUUCUAUUAGUGAUCAAGUAGAAUUCCUAUUUGGGUUCAUUUGUAAUCCCACAUUUUUUCUUCUUCCAUAUUUAUGAACCUGCCACCUGCAUUUAUGCCCCAAACGUAUCUAUAGAUUUAAAAUCGGUGCUUUAAACAUCUAUGAUCAGCAGGAAAGUAUAAAUUUAAGGAAGAAAAAAAUGUUAUAUCUACAUGAGUACCUAAGACGUUUUGUCCUUGAUGAAAAUAGCAACAUCUCACUUCUUUGUACAAGAAAAGAGGGGACAAUAAGUAGAAACACUUUAGGUACUUGGCGAUUUGGUCUUUUGAUGCUUACACAAAGAGGUCAAAAGAUGUAGAUGUUAAUUGUGGUCUUUUGGUGCUACUUGUAGUUGUGGAUCACAAUAGGGCUAGAUUAAAGGAAUGUUGCCUUCUCAAUGCAUAGAUGUUUAUAGUGCCAUUUGUUCAUUAUUGUCCAUGAUGUGGGUGAUGUUAGGAUGAUAAUUUUAGGAACAUUCUAUGUGAUUCAUGGGUAUAUUUCAAAAAUUGAAUAUUUAUAAAAAAUUAGCCGAUACAGCUAUAUUGGAGUUAUUUUCUUUUGUCAAAUAAGUUUGGAUUCAGUGCAGAAUUGCAGAUCUUAGGCAGAUCUCCAAAAUAUUGUGUUUUCUCGUCCUUUUUUCCCCCUCCCCAAAAAUUCAAGGGUACUUUCCGGACUCAUGGACUGUGUGCUUCAUGUUCUUACUUGCAGGAGGGAACUUCUAACUACUUUAAAGGGCUAAUGCUCAUUCUUUGCUAUCUAAUAGUUGCAGCUAGUUUCUUUGUACAUGUAGAUCCUACUUCAGUUGCGGAUAAGCCUCCCAAAUCUUAGUGAAGGUAGAGCUAUUCAUUCUCAAGUUGUUCUUCAAAGGUUCUGGUCCACUUUGUAUUGUUUUCUUCUUCAACCAUUGAUUUAUAUCAGUUUCAUUAUGGUCAGUUUUCUUGUUGGAAAGAAACUAAUCAAGUCCUUGUCCAUAGGCUCAUUGCUUGAUUACUUGUAGAAAUUUUAUGUAAUCUACAAAUAAACUUUUUCCGUUGUUUAGUUUUCCUGUUCAUGUCCAUGAAAUGUUAUUUAAUCACAUGUAACAUCAUUGACAGAUCCCUUAUAAUAAAUACUUUUACCUUUUUGAUGAA